CCUACGGGGGGCAGCAGUGAGGAAUAUUGGUCAAUGGGCGCGAGCCUGAACCAGCCAAGUAGCGUGAAGGAUGACUGCCCUACGGGUUGUAAACUUCUUUUAUAAAGGAAUAAAGUGAGGCACGUGUGCCUUUUUGUAUGUACUUUAUGAAUAAGGAUCGGCUAACUCCGUGCCAGCAGCCGCGGUAAUACGGAGGAUCCGAGCGUUAUCCGGAUUUAUUGGGUUUAAAGGGAGCGUAGGUGGGUUGUUAAGUCAGUUGUGAAAGUUUGCGGCUCAACCGUAAAAGUGCAGUUGGUACUGGCGGCCUUGAGUACAGUUGAGGUAGGCGGAAUGCGUGGUGUAGCGGUGAAAUGCUUAGAUAUCGCGAAGAACUCCGAUUGCGAAGGCAGCUUACUAAGCUGCCACUGACAUUGAUGCUCGAAAGUGUGGGUAUCAAACAGGAUUAGAUACCCCUGUAGUC
rnacentral:rRNA from 1 species